CUUCAUAUUUUCCUUGAUUCAUCUCGGUUACGUCCUGGUUUGUUAUUGUUUGGAAUUGAGAGUAUAAGAAAAUUUCACUGGUGGUGCCAGCAUAAAGUCUAUGAGUACCGAACGUAGCUCAUGCCAAGUGAUGAGAAUGACAAAGUGUUAUACUUAGGAAUACGAUCAAAGUGGAACGGAAAGCCGCGCUACCAGUCACUACAUUUGGUACUUAAAACUUGUAAGAAACUAAUACUUUAGAUGGAGAAAAGGUUGUAGAACCUAACCAUUCUUAAAAGUUCGAGUUUUUCUACUGAUAUUUGUAUUCAUGAGACAUAGGCCCUACUUUCAACUUUGAAUUGAAAGCUGAAGCAUGUAACAGAUUCCAAUCUCAGAAACUUCUCAAAAUUUCGGUAUUGCACACCUCAUUCUCACAUCUGAUCUAAUAAAAUUAGGGGGAAACAACGGAUUUUGGAUAAAAAAAGAGAUUCGGAUUAGUAAUUGCAUCGUGCGUCAAUUGGAAGGAACAAACAAAUAAUAUUAUUUGGCAAAGGAAAUCUUGUUUUUAAAAGACUGUUAGAAUCUAAGAAUCGUUGAUUACAAAACAGAGUCAAAAUAACUGGAGGGAAGUAUUACAGACAUGGAACAUUAAGGGCGGGGCCUGCUUUAGGAACUCUAAAAGAGGCGAUUUUUCGAGAGGGAAAACGUGAAUUGAGCCUAGCAAAAUUUUUUGUAUGUUUUAACAUAUAUUUGAAAAG